rnacentral:rRNA from 1 species
UACAGAGGGUGCAAGCGUUGUUCGGAAUUACUGGGCGUAAAGCGCGUGUAGGCGGCGACGUAAGUCGGGUGUGAAAUCCCUCAGCUCAACUGAGGAAGUGCACUCGAUACUGUGUUGCUUGAGUACCGGAGGGGAUGGCGGAAUUCCCGGUGUAGAGGUGAAAUUCGUAGAUAUCGGGAGGAACACCUGUGGCGAAGGCGGCCAUCUGGACGGUAACUGACGCUGAGACGCGAAAGCGUGGGUAGCAAACAGG